CACGCGCGCAUACUCAAAACCCCUCCUACUAUCCUGCCUCCAUCGAUUUCUUUCUCAUUUCUCCCUUUUCUGAACUCUAAAAAUAUCGUCUCUCGUCUGUUGGCCGUCGCGCCUCCAGCUUACUCAAUCUGCCCAUCUUUCAGAGUGUAUCAAGUCACUCUAACUCAGACCCUCUCGUCUCUCGUCAGCCUCCUCCCAUCUAACCAAAGCAGCCCUUGCAAGGCUGAGUGUUGUGCAUAGGAGUCUGAAAGUUGCCAAGUCUGGUGUCAAGAAGAGGAACAAGCCUUGAAGAUCUAUGUCAAUAAGUAAGCUAGACAAUUUAAGUUGUUUGUGCUGCGAUUUUCGUUGUUCUAGACCCCUUUUGUUUUAUCCAUUUUGUGUCUAGAUUUUUGAAGCAAAGAUUCAUGGUCCUUGCCAGUUUGAUUUCCAAAUUAUAAUAUGGUAAUUUUGAGGAGAAAAAAAAAGUCUCACUCUCUUUCAACUUAUUUUUAAAGUUCUGAUGCAACAUUACUCAUUUAAAACUUGGGUUUCUUCUCUCUUCUAAAACAAAUAUUAUUUUUCCUGGAAAAUUUCGUUGUUCCAAUUUUUUUUUACUUUGAUUAUGUAUAGUGUCAAUUAUGAACUUGGGUUAAUAUUUGUAUAGUUAGAACCUAACCAAAGCACAAAUGCUUUAUAUUAAGUUUGUAUAUUGUCUUGUGAUGAUAAUUUAUUUCUAAGGGUUUGUAUUUUAACCAUUAUUGUAUUUGAUAGAAUGGUUUCUAAAUUUCUUUUCAACGUCAAUUGUAUUUUUUUCAAAAACAUUUUUUUGACAGCUAUAAUGAAUAUUACCAAACUUUUCAAAAACAAUUUUCCAUAAACUAGCUCUUAGAGACUACAGUGGCCAACUGCUUUGUUUCCUUCAUCGCAAGUGAAUGAUGUUGCGAAUGUAUCAUCAUUUGAACAGGGUGCCUUGGAUUCUUUAUGUCUUCAAUCACCAGCUCGUACUUCCAAUGCCAUUGUUGUUUUCUUCCUUAAAGUAGUUGCAUAACUUGCUUAUCCUAUUCGAGCAGCUUUACUUUAGUGUCGAGCUUACUUGCUGUCAGUAAUGUCUCCUUAAGAUGGAGAGUUCUCCAUUGACUUUGUCUGUAUGUUCACAUGUGCAACAGUAUUUUGAAAGUUGAUUUCCAUUUUUGCUUCUUAAUGCGAAUAUAACACCCUUAUCCCGAAUCAGCGAACGACCUCUAUUGGUGGUGCUACAACCGAUGACUAGAGGCAUCCUUAGUAAUACUAUUGACUUUACGAUAUCUAACGAUAAUAAGGGCUAUACUGGUUGAAAAGAAA
rnacentral:lncRNA from 1 species